rnacentral:rRNA from 1 species
UACGGGGGGGGCAAGCGUUGUUCGGAAUUACUGGGCGUAAAGGGCUCGUAGGUGGCCAACUAAGUCAGACGUGAAAUCCCUCGGCUUAACCGGGGAACUGCGUCUGAUACUGGAUGGCUUGAGUUUGGGAGAGGGACGCGGAAUUCCAGGUGUAGCGGUGAAAUGCGUAGAUAUCUGGAGGAACACCGGUGGCGAAAGCGGCGCGCUGGACCCCUUCUGACGCUGAGGCGCGAAAGCCAGGGGAGCAAACGGG